rnacentral:rRNA from 1 species
AUUGAACGCUGGCGGCAUGCUUUACACAUGCAAGUCGAACGGCAGCGCGGGCUUCGGCCUGGCGGCGAGUGGCGAACGGGUGAGUAAUGCAUCGGAACGUGCCCAGUAGUGGGGGAUAGCCCGGCGAAAGCCGGAUUAAUACCGCAUACGACCUGAGGGUGAAAGCGGGGGACCGAAAGGCCUCGCGCUAUUGGAGCGGCCGAUGUCGGAUUAGCUAGUUGGUGGGGUAAAGGCUUACCAAGGCGACGAUCCGUAGCUGGUCUGAGAGGACGACCAGCCACACUGGGACUGAGACACGGCCCAGACUCCUACGGGAGGCAGCAGUGGGGAAUUUUGGACAGUGGGGGCAACCCUGAUCCAGCCAUGCCGCGUGCGGGAAGAAGGCCUUCGGGUUGUAAACCGCUUUUGUUCGGGAAGAAAUCCUCUGGGCUAAUACCCCGGGGGGAUGACGGUACCGGAAGAAUAAGCACCGGCUAACUACGU